rnacentral:tRNA from 17 species
UGUAACCCCAGAGAAGAGCA